GGGGGGGGGGGGGGGGGGGGCUGGGGGGGGCGGGGCGGGCGGGCGGGCGGGGGGCGGGCGCCUGUGGCGUUGGCGGCGGGCGGGUGAGUGACGCGUGGAUGACCUACCGAUGGGGCUGGGGUAACGUCGGGAAGCCGGAGCUAAUCCCGGAUACUAUCUUGAACCGCGUGGUUCAAUGGUGAAAGACGGUUUUGCUGUCCCUUGUAGAUGGAUCCGCGCCGCCUUAGCUAGUUGGUGAGGUAAAGGCUUACCAAGGCAACGAUGCGUAGCCGGCCUGAGAGGGUGAUCGGCCACACUGGAACUGAGACACGGUCCAGACUCCUACGGGAGGCAGCAGUAGGGAAUCUUCCGCAAUGGGCGAAAGCCUGACGGAGCAACGCCGCGUGAGUGAUGAAGGUCUUCGGAUCGUAAAGCUCUGUUAUUAGGGAAGAACAAAUGUGUAAGUAACUAUGCACGUCUUGACGGUACCGAAUCAGAAAGCCACGGCUAACUACGUG
rnacentral:rRNA from 1 species